rfam:Nematostella vectensis strain CH2 x CH6 NEMVEscaffold_285_Cont22394, whole genome shotgun sequence.
CCUUCAAUAGCUCAUUUGGUAGAGCGGGGGGCUGUAGAAUUGUAAUUGUGAUCCCUAAUUCGCUGGUUCGAAUCCGGCUCGAAGGA